CCUAAGUGAUUGUUUGAUCUCGGCCCACUCGAUAAAGCAUUUACGAUAUUUUUAGUGGCAAUCGAGCGUUGUAAAUCCAGCUACCAAAACAUCUCGCAUGUUCGACACAACGCUACUCUUAAUUAAAUAAACCGCGUUGUAGUAAACAGUCCGGGCUCUUGAUAUAGAACAUAAAAUCGGGUUCGGGACUCGAUGUGUAAAACAUCUGCCACUUGAAAAGAAAAAUUACGAGAAAAAAUUGUAACGCCAGCUUUCGAGCGUUUCAACGCCUUGAUAGAAUUCAGAAAAGAGUUUCAGAUGCCGGCUUGGAACGACCUCGGAUUUAUAAACGGAAACACAUUUUACUUUUACGAUGGGUGGCGGGCUGACGAAUUCCGUGGAGGUAGCGAGGAAGAGGCUCGACUGGCUCCAUUCAUGGGUGGAGAUGUAAGACAAUGAGCGACGACCUUAAAAAAGCCCGCAGAUAAGGCAAUUAUGCUAAUGGUGGGUCGAAAAUUGGGGUUUAUGCGGGAGUGGGGUCUGGGUUAUGGACGGUUCUAAUAGUUUUACUAUCAUUUAUCGUUUGAUUGAUGUUUGGAGUGUAAACUUUGCAAGAGACGUACAUAUUUGCGGAAUCUUAAGAUAUGUUUGUUUAGUGUUUUCUUUAUCGAUUAUAUUUGUUUGUUGUG